rnacentral:rRNA from 1 species
GAUGAACGCUGGCGGCGUGCCUAAUACAUGCAAGUCGAGCGAACAGACGAGGAGCUUGCUCCUUUGACGUUAGCGGCGGACGGGUGAGUAACACGUGGGUAACCUACCUAUAAGACUGGGAUAACUUCGGGAAACCGGAGCUAAUACCGGAUAAUAUUUCGAACCGCAUGGUUCGAUAGUGAAAGAUGGCUUUGCUAUCACUUAUAGAUGGACCUGCGCCGUAUUAGCUAGUUGGUAAGGUAACGGCUUACCAAGGCAACGAUACGUAGCCGACCUGAGAGGGUGAUCGGCCACACUGGAACUGAGACACGGUCCAGACUCCUACGGGAGGCAGCAGUAGGGAAUCUUCCGCAAUGGGCGAAAGCCUGACGGAGCAACGCCGCGUGAGUGAUGAAGGUCUUCGGAUCGUAAAACUCUGUUAUUAGGGAAGAACAAACGUGUAAGUAACUGUGCACGUCUUGACGGUACCUAAUCAGAAAGCCACGGCUAACUACGUGCCAGCAGCCGCGGUAAUACGUAGGUGGCAAGCGUUAUCCGGAAUUAUUGGGCGUAAAGCGCGCGUAGGCGGUUUUUUAAGUCUGAUGUGAAAGCCCACGGCUCAACCGUGGAGGGUCAUUGGAAACUGGAAAACUUGAGUGCAGAAGAGGAAAGUGGAAUUCCAUGUGUAGCGGUGAAAUGCGCAGAGAUAUGGAGGAACACCAGUGGCGAAGGCGACUUUCUGGUCUGUAACUGACGCUGAUGUGCGAAAGCGUGGGAAUCAAACAGGAUUAGAUACCCUGGUAGUCCACGCCGUAAACGAUGAGUGCUAAGUGUUAGGGGGUUUCCGCCCCUUAGUGCUGCAGCUAACGCAUUAAGCACUCCGCCUGGGGAGUACGACCGCAAGGUUGAAACUCAAAGGAAUUGACGGGGACCCGUACAAGCGGUGGAGCAUGUGGUUUAAUUCGAAGCAACGCGAAGAACCUUACCAAAUCUUGACAUCCUUUGACCCUUCUAGAGAUAGAAGUUUCCCCUUCGGGGGACAAAGUGACAGGUGGUGCAUGGUUGUCGUCAGCUCGUGUCGUGAGAUGUUGGGUUAAGUCCCGCAACGAGCGCAACCCUUAAGCUUAGUUGCCAUCAUUAAGUUGGGCACUCUAAGUUGACUGCCGGUGACAAACCGGAGGAAGGUGGGGAUGACGUCAAAUCAUCAUGCCCCUUAUGAUUUGGGCUACACACGUGCUACAAUGGACAAUACAAAGGGCAGCGAAACCGCGAGGUCAAGCAAAUCCCAUAAAGUUGUUCUCAGUUCGGAUUGUAGUCUGCAACUCGACUACAUGAAGCUGGAAUCGCUAGUAAUCGUAGAUCAGCAUGCUACGGUGAAUACGUUCCCGGGUCUUGUACACACCGCCCGUCACACCACGAGAGUUUGUAACACCCGAAGCCGGUGGAGUAACCAUUUGGAGCUAGCCGUCGAAGGUGGGACAAAUGAUUGGGGUGAAGUCGUGACAAGGUAGCCGUAUCGGAAGG